GGUUUAAUUCGAAGCAACGCGAAGAACCUUACCAGGUCUUGACAUCCCGAUGCUAUUUCUAGAGAUAGAAAGUUACUUCGGUACAUCGGUGACAGGUGGUGCAUGGUUGUCGUCAGCUCGUGUCGUGAGAUGUUGGGUUAAGUCCCGCAACGAGCGCAACCCCUAUUGCUAGUUGCCAUCAUUCAGUUGGGCACUCUAGCGAGACUGCCGGUAAUAAACCGGAGGAAGGUGGGGAUGACGUCAAAUCAUCAUGCCCCUUAUGACCUGGGCUACACACGUGCUACAAUGGUUGGUACAACGAGUUGCGAGUCGGUGACGGCGAGCUAAUCUCUUAAAGCCAACUCUCAGUUCGGAUUGUAGGCCUGCAACUCGCCUACAUGAAGUCGGAAUCGCUAGUAAUCGCGGAUCAGCCACGCCGCGGUCGAAUACGGUUCCGGCCUU
rnacentral:rRNA from 1 species